CCGCACAAGUUUUGUGUGGCGAAUUGUAGUCUAUAGAAGCGAUGUCAGCAUAGCUGCUCUAGUCAAGUUCCUUGGAAAAGGACAGCAUGGAGGGUUAUACUCCCGUCAUUGCUGGAGCAUGCUGUGUGUACGACACGUUUUCUUUGAGUCGCGUUGUUUGGGAAUGCAGCGCAAAGUAGGUGGUAAAUUCCAUCUAAAGCUAAAUAUAAGUGCGAGACCGAUAGCGAACAAGUACCGUGAGGGAAAGAUGAAAAGAACUUUGAAAAGAGAGUUAAAGAGUACCUGAAACUGCUGAAAGGGAAGCGAAUCGUAUCCAGUGUCUAUAAUCCGCAACAUAUUACAAUGAUGUGUCUUUGCUUUCCGCGUGUAGGUAGUAGCCUUGGUUGCACCUUGCGUGGAUUGGUUGAGACAUAUCGUUGCCCUGUGUUGUGGUGGGACGUCAAAGUCAGUUUGUACGCCGCAGGAAAUGAUUGACGAGGAAGAUAGGUUCACUGCUUGCAGCGUUCCAUUAUAUCCUUAUCGAAGUCUGCUGUGACCGAGACUGAGGUGUCUUUAACAUGCUCUCGAGUCUAUCAGACAUUCACUUGGUUGACUGCGUAGAUAGCUUGCUAUGUACGUGGUCAUACAAGGUGAUUGUGUUUGGUAGUAACUUGUUGCUGUUCGGGACUUUGGCGAAAUGGAGCGAUUCGGCCCGUCUUGAAACACGGACCAAGGAGUCUAACAUGUGUGCAAGUAUUUGGGUGUUGAAACCCCAGUGCGUAAAUGAAAGUAAAGGGUAAUGUAGAUUGCCUUAGGUAGGAAAGCGCUGUAUGGUGCUGGCACUAUCGACCGAUCAUGAACCUUCGUGGUGAAAGAUUUGAGUUUGAG
rnacentral:ncRNA from 1 species